UACGAAGGGGGCUAGCGUUGCUCGGAAUCACUGGGCGUAAAGCGCACGUAGGCGGCUUUCUAAGUCAGGGGUGAAAUCCUGGAGCUCAACUCCAGAACUGCCUUUGAUACUGGAGAGCUUGAGUCCGGGAGAGGUGAGUGGAACUCCGAGUGUAGAGGUGAAAUUCGUAGAUAUUCGGAAGAACACCAGUGGCGAAAGCGGCUCACUGGCCCGGUACUGACGCUGAUGUGCGAAAGCGUGGGGAGCAAACAGG
rnacentral:rRNA from 1 species